CUCCUCACAACUCCUGUUUCGUAGCUUAAUCGAAGUCACCUGAAGGACGGCUUUCCUGAGUUUCCUCAGCAACGGCAAGACCUGCACUCCUCUCAUAUCGUUAAGUUUAACGAGUUUCGCGGCUCAAGCAAGAGGCACCUG